rnacentral:rRNA from 1 species
AUUGAACGCUGGCGGCAGGCCUAACACAUGCAAGUCGAGCGAGCGGCGGACGGGUGAGUAAUGUAUGGGGACUGCCCGAUAGAGGGGGAUAACUACUGGAAACGGUUGCUAAUACCGCAUACUAUCGGAUAACCCAUAUGGGAUUAGCUAGUAGGUGGGGUAAUGGCUUACCUAGGCGACGAUCUCUAGUUGGUCUGAGAGGAUAAUCAGCCACACGGGGACGGAGACACGGCCCAGGCUCCUCCGGAGGCAGCAGUGGUAAAUAUUGCACAAUGGGCGCAAGCCUGAUGCAGCCAUGCCGCGUGUAUGAAGAAGGCCUUAGGGUUGUAAAGUACUUUCAGCGGGGAGGCGUUACCGACAGAAGAAGCACCGGCUAACUCCGUGCCAGCAGCCGCGGUAAUAC